CCUACGGGUGGCAGCAGUGGGGAAUAUUGCGCAAUGGGCGAAAGCCUGACGCAGCGACGCCGCGUGAGGGAUGAAGGUCUUCGGAUCGUAAACCUCUGUCAGCAGGGAAGAACGGUCACUGUGCUAAUCAGCAGUGAAUUGACGGUACCUGCAAAGGAAGCACCGGCUAACUACGUGCCAGCAGCCGCGGUAAUACGUAGGGGGCAAGCGUUAUCCGGAUUUACUGGGUGUAAAGGGAGCGUAGACGGUGCUCAAAGUCUGGAGUGAAAUGCCGCCGCUUAACUGCGGAACUGCUUUGGAAACGGGCGAACUAGAGUGCGGGAGGGGUAAGCGGAAUUCCUAGUGGAGCGGUGAAAUGCGUAGAUAUUAGGAGGAACACCGGUGGCGAAGGCGGCUUACUGGACCGUAACUGACGUUGAGGCUCGAAAGCGUGGGGAGCAAACAGGAUUAGAUACCCCAGUAGUC
rnacentral:rRNA from 1 species